GACGAACGCUGGCGGCGUGCUUAACACAUGCAAGUGGAGCGACGAACCAGGGCUUGCCCUGGGGCAGAGCCGCGAACGGGUGAGCAACACGUGGGUAACGUGCCCCGAUGACCGGGACAACCCGAGGAAACUCGGGCUAAUACCGGAUGUGGACCUCUCACAUCAGUGAGUUGUCUAAAGGUAGCUUCGGCUUCCGCAUUGGGAGCGGCCCGCGGCCCAUUAGCUUGUUGGUGAGGUAACGGCUGACCAAGGCUUCGAUGGGUAGCUGGUCUGAGGGGACGAUCAGCCACACUGGGACUGAGACACGGCCCAGACUCCUACGGGAGGCAGCAGUGGGGAAUCUUGCGCAAUGCGCGAAAGCGUGACGCAGCAACGCCGCGUGGGGGAAGACGGCCUUCGGGUUGUAAACCCCUUUCAGGAGGGACGAAGGUCACACGGUUAAUAGCCGGCGUGACUGACGGUACCUCCAGAAGAAGCCCCGGCUAACUACGUGCCAGCCGCCGCCGUAA
rnacentral:rRNA from 1 species